GAUGAACGCUGGCGGCGUGCCUAAUACAUGCAAGUCGAGCGAACGGGCGAGAAGCUUGCUUCUCUGAUGUUAGCGGCGGACGGGUGAGUAACACGUGUAUAACCUACCUAUAAGACUGGGAUAACUUCGGGAAACCGGAGCUAAUACCGGAUGAUAUUUUGAACCGCAUGGUUCAAAAGUGAUAGACGGUCUUUCUGUCUCUUAUAGAUGGAUCCGCGCUGCAUUAGCUAGUUGGUAAGGUAACGGCUUACCAAGGCAACGAUGCAUAUCCGACCUGAGAGGGUGAUCGGCCACACUGGAACUGAGACACGGUCCAGACACCUACGGGAGGCAGCAGUAGGGAAUCUUCCGCAAUGGGCGAAAGCCUGACGGAGCAACGCCGCGUGAGUGAUGAAGGUCUUCGGAUCGUAAAACUCUGUUAUUAGGGAAGAACAUAUGUGUAAGUAACUGUGCACAUCUUGACGGUACCUAAUCAGAAAGCCACGGCUAACUACGUG
rnacentral:rRNA from 1 species